rnacentral:rRNA from 1 species
CGUGGCUAACCUGCCCUUGGGACCAGAAUACCCCCGGGAAACUGGGGCUAAUUCACGAUAGGUGAAGAACUCUGGAAUGAGUCUUCACUUAAAAGAGGUUGCGUUAUGCUCGCAAUUUCGCCCAAGGAUGGGGCCGCGGCCGAUCAGGUUGUUGGUGAGGUAAUGGCUCACCAAGCCUUUUACCGGUGCGGGCCGUGGGAGCGGGAGCCCGGAGAUGGGCACUGAGACAAGGGCCCAGGCCCUACGGGGCGCAGCAGUCGCGAAAACUUUGCAAUAAGCGAAAGCUUGACAGGGCUAUCCCGAGUGCCAUCCGCUGAGGAAGGCUUUUACCCAGUCUAGAACGCUGGGGGAAUAAGGAGAGGGCAAGUCUGGUGUCAGCCGCCGCGGUAAUACCAGCUCUUCGAGUGGUGUGGAUGUUUAUUGGGCCUAAAGCAUCCGUAGCUGGCUAGGUAAGUCCCCUGUUAAAUCCACCGAAUUAAUCGUUGGAUUGCGGGGGAUACUGCUUGGCUAGGGGACGAGAGAGGCAGACGGUAUUUCCGGGGUAGGGGUGAAAUCCUAUAAUCCCGGGAAGACCACCAGUGGCGAAGGCUGUCUGCUAGAACGCGCCCGACGGUGAGGGAUGAAAGCUGGGGGAGCGAACCGGAUUAGAUACCCGGGUAGUCCCAGCUGU